GAGACUACAGUUGUGUUCUGGGCACAGACAGUGCCUCCAGGUUCACACAGUCCUUGUGUAUCCUCCUCUCCGAAUCCACAGCUGCUCCAGCAGUGCUUGAGAAAAAAGAACAGAGAUAGGGCCAAAUCUGCUGAUACCCUGAAUAAAAAUCCAGUAGCCACUGCUGCCCACUUCUGCACCUUGCAUCUGAAGACCCAAGAGUGGAGUGAGCCUGGAGCCCUGUUGUGUCACUCAUUAGACAGUGGAGGCUGGCUCCGAUUCUGCUGCACCCACACCAGCUAACAGAGACCCAUUCCCCCAUGCCAGCUGUUGAUUCCACUUCAGGAACCAAAGGAGACUCAUGCCCCAAGUAAACAGCCCAAAUUACUUAUUUGCUACCCCUGCCACCAUCAUAGGCCAUUGGCCACCCACCUGCUACCACUGCCACUGUGAGGAACAGCUGCCACAGAGAGCGAGCUACUUAGAAGAGCCUCAGUGAGAAUAUA